UACGUAGGGUGCGAGCGUUAAUCGGAAUUACUGGGCGUAAAGCGUGCGCAGGCGGUGAUGUAAGACCGAUGUGAAAUCCCCGGGCUUAACCUGGGAACUGCAUUGGUGACUGCAUUGCUGGAGUAUGGCAGAGGGGGGUGGAAUUCCACGUGUAGCAGUGAAAUGCGUAGAUAUGCGGAGGAACACCGAUGGCGAAGGCAAUCCCCUGGGCCUGCACUGACGCUCAUGCACGAAAGCGUGGGGAGCAAACAGG
rnacentral:rRNA from 1 species